GAUGAACGCUAGCUACAGGCUUAACACAUGCAAGUCGAGGGGAAACGACAUCGAAAGCUUGCUUUUGAUGGGCGUCGACCGGCGCACGGGUGAGUAACGCGUAUCCAACCUGCCCACCACUUGGGGAUAACCUUGCGAAAGUAAGACUAAUACCCAAUGAUAUCUCUAGAAGACAUCUGAAAGAGAUUAAAGAUUUAUCGGUGAUGGAUGGGGAUGCGUCUGAUUAGCUUGUUGGCGGGGUAACGGCCCACCAAGGCAACGAUCAGUAGGGGUUCUGAGAGGAAGGUCCCCCACAUUGGAACUGAGACACGGUCCAAACUCCUACGGGAGGCAGCAGUGAGGAAUAUUGGUCAAUGGGCGAGAGCCUGAACCAGCCAAGUAGCGUGCAGGAUGACGGCCCUAUGGGUUGUAAACUGCUUUUAUAAGGGAAUAAAGUUAGUCUCGUGAGACUUUUUGCAUGUACCUUAUGAAUAAGGACCGGCUAAUUCCGUGCCAGCAGCCGCGGUAAUACGGAAGGUCCGGGCGUUAUCCGGAUUUAUUGGGUUUAAAGGGAGCGUAGGCCGGAGAUUAAGCGUGUUGUGAAAUGUAGAUGCUCAACAUCUGAACUGCAGCGCGAACUGGUUUCCUUGAGUACGCACAAAGUGGGCGGAAUUCGUGGUGUAGCGGUGAAAUGCUUAGAUAUCACGAAGAACUCCGAUUGCGAAGGCAGCUCACUGGAGCGCAACUGACGCUGAAGCUCGAAAGUGCGGGUAUCGAACAGGAUUAGAUACCCUGGUAGUCCGCACGGUAAACGAUGGAUGCCCGCUGUUGGUCUGAAUAGGUCAGCGGCCAAGCGAAAGCAUUAAGCAUCCCACCUGGG
rnacentral:rRNA from 1 species